ACUCCUACGGGAGGCAGCAGUGGGGAAUAUUGGACAAUGGGCGAAAGCMUGAUCCAGCCAUGCCGCGUGUGUGAAGAAGGUCUUCGGAUUGUAAAGCACUUUAAGUUGGGAGGAAGGGCAGUAAGUUAAUACCUUGCUGUUUUGACGUUACCGACAGAAUAAGCACCGGCUAACUCUGUGCCAGCAGCCGCGGUAAUA
rnacentral:rRNA from 1 species